rnacentral:lncRNA from 1 species
UCUCUCUUCCGUCUCCUUCUCUCUCUGUUUCUCUCUUCUUCUCCGGUGGGAGAUGGGGCGGCCGGGAGGAAUCCGGCGCGGUGGCCGGCGAGCCAUCGCGGCUGCGCCGCCGCGCCGGAGCUAACAAGUUCCCUUUUUUUGAUUUUUUUUGGUUCUUUUUGCUUAUUCUUUCCCUCUCUACUUGAAUCUGAAACUAUAUUUUCAAUAACCCACACUUAGAGACCUAGAUCUAAAGGUGAAGUAAAACUACCUUUUGAGCUUUUGAUUCGGAUUUGGAUCGCACUGGUUACGGUCGGUCUGGCUUGUGCCGCCGCGCGCCUGGGGGUUGUGUCGCUUCUAUAUAUGUGUGUGUGUGUGUUGUGUUGCGCGUGUGUGUGUGCUGUUGUGUGUCUUUGUUUUUCGUGUGCUCUGCUCUGUGUUGCUUGCUGUUGUUUUUCGUCUUGGCUUCUCCGCCGUUUUGUCUUUCCCGUGUUCUGUUGUGUGUUUUCUUUGUUAUGCAGGUUAUGUAUUUAUAGUGCUGUUUGGGGACAAGGAUUUGUUACAAAAAUUGCAGAUUUUAGGAGAUUGAGACGGAGAUAGGCGCGUAACAGACUGGAUGAGGAUGAGGAUGAUGGUUUGUGAUUUGUUACGCAUGAACCUGGACUGUUCUUGGGACUCAUGGACAUUUUUGGGACUUUGGACAAUUUUGGGAUUUAAUAAAAAAGAAAAAUUAAUAAUAAAAGAAUUAUAUCUAUAUUUUUUGGUUUUAAAUAAAAUAAAUAAAAAAGAAAAAUUUAAUCUAAUCUUGGACUAAAAUUAAAAUUAGAAUUCUAAAAUAAAAUAAACAAAUAAAAAUAAAAAAAAUAAAAGAUGGAAAUAAAUAAUUAAAGACUGAGAGAAGAGGGUCCGAUUCGGAACUUUAUGAGGUAUUUCAAAAUACCUCCCUGCCGAAUUUUUCACUGAAAUGUGAGUCUGAUCCGAGUUCGGAGACGUGUGUCGGUGGGACCUUAGGUCAAAAUUUGGGGUAUGACAAUAAGGGGUUAAGAUG